UGGUCAUUACCAAGGCUUUUAGAAUGCAGUUUCUCAUUUGCUGUGGACAUGACCAUAAAGAAAUUUCCCACUAGGUUUUCUAUAUGCUACUUUGUUAGCAAUCAACCUAUUGGGGACACUA
ensembl:snoRNA